UAUCACUUUGAUCGUGCUACAAAUAAAUAAUUAUCUUAAUAUAGGAUACUAGAGGUCCCACAGUAGUCGAAAUUCGACUAUAAUUAAUUGGAAUUGUAAGUUUGUACCCUAUUAUGAGUGUGUUUUAUACUUCUAUAAUCACAAAUUUCGCCAAGACUACACUAUAAAAAAAUAUUAACAAAGACAAACAAUAUUUAAUCUCAAUAUGACAACAGACGUCAAGAACAAAAGUUUGACAAUAAAUAGUAUCCAUGCGUGUGUGCAUCAAAUACAUGCACGUGCAAUAGGAGUGACUCACACAAGCCAGGCGCGCCGGCCGUGUCGUUCCACUCGUAAACAACAGCUGCAACAGAAGUGACUCAUAAACCAGCUGCGCCGGCUAGUAUAAAAAGGCGGAACGUGCCUUGAAAUGAACAUUCGUUGGACUGCGCUUGCCUGGUGCACUUACUAUAUCCUCGUUACGUUGUGUGAUUCAGUGACUGUUGUACGUACUGGUUAAAGUUGGACAAGUGUUAAAGUGAAUUGUUAAGAUAACAUAUUGUUGAUUAAAUCAGGAAUCAAAUAGUGCCAUCGUUUUACUUGGUGUUCAACAAGAUAAUAUCUACCCUCAAGCUUACAUCAGAAGUGAGAUCAGGACUCUACUCUCACUGGCGUGACGUGUUUGAACAUGUUCGAAGUACAGCAAAAAAAACAUGAUGCAGAUCAGAAUACUAGUAGUGGUACGCCACAAGAGCGUGAAUGCAGCAUACGUAAGUCGUGUAAUAACGUCUCUGUUACCUCGAUGGAAGAUCUGAGCCACGAAGAAAUCGUCACAUCUUACGUUCUGGCUCAUGUUGCCCAGUUUGACUGUCGACGUCAUCACAUGGCGUUUACUAACGGAAAUACAACACGUAACAAGCUAUUGCAAGAAAUUAAGGCAAGUGCAAAUCUCAAGUGAAACUUCGAUCGCAAUAAUGGAUCUGUCAUGACGAGUGGGUAGUUCCGACACGAAUCGUUUUUAAGCCAAUGACUACUGCUAGAGUUACAUGGCACUAGUACAGUAAACCAGGACAUGAGACUGUGAAUUGUCGCUGAAAUUUUAGAAUCUACUCGAUUCAAUACCAAUAACACUACACGUUCGAUGACUUCGGGCUCCAGCAAGCAAGCAAACAAGAAAGCAAGCAAGUUUCCGUGGGGAAGAAAAAUUGACACAUCUGAAGUCGUCGUGACCUGUAAGAUAAGACGUCCGGUGCGUUCGUGUCUGGCGAUGCGGCGGUGUUCGGGUUCCGCUGGCGGAUUCAGGUUUUUCCGGUGAAGUGCGUGCUUGUGCGUGCUUGACAAGUGUUCGCGGUUGGCUUCCUCAGUGUGGGAGGAACAUCGUGUAAGAGAGGUGGAACCCGUAAAAUUGUAGUUUGCGUGGUGGCUGGUAAGAUUUGUUGCGGUAAGAAGUUUGCAUGGUGGUAAAAUGUCUUGUGAGUCUGCACAGGUAGCCAGAGGUGAAACUUCCGCGGUCGCGGCCCACCCAGUCCGCGAGAACCGGGCAGAUCGCCUCGACGGUACGGAGGCCGGCUGACGGGUCCGCCAAACGACGAGACCACGCCUCCAGCACGGACUGCCGAUAUUGGAGCCCCCGCGCUCCGGCUGCACUUGCGCUAGGGCGCGCCGCCUCGUAGGAGACUGUGAGGUAUCAUUGAAUAACUGCGAUCGCGCGCUGCCGGCGUCGCAGCGCGGCGACGUUCUCGUGGGUAAGGACGUAGCACCAGACGGGUGCUCCGUAUAGUGCCAUCGACCGCACGGGUACCAUCACCGUGCCUAUUUCUGCCGUGAAGCAGUGGUGUAUUUCGGUUUGAAGGGUGGGGCAGCGGUUGUAACUAUACUGAGACCUUAGAACUUCUAUCUCAAGGUGUGUGGUGCGUUUGCGCUGUGGAUGUCUAUGGGUUCCAGUAACCACUUAACACAAGGUGGGCUGUGAGCUCGUCCACACAUUAAUACGAAGAGCAUAAUCAAACGAAAUUAGAUACGAAGUUUAAAGGGCCGUUUAAAGUAGUUGAAGUAUUGGAUGGUGUCGAUUUAAUUUUGACUCUCACACAUUCGCUUAAGGCUCGAGCUACUACUUGCCUCACAAAAAUACAGCCUGCAAAACCUGAACAACCUCCUCAUCCGUGGGCGCCCGGCUCUCGCCUGCAAGUCUGCUGUUACGUGUGCGGUGAUGCGAGCCAUGUAGCUUCUGGGUGUUCCAUGCGCUACAAGAAGAAAAACGACACUGCUCCAGGUGCUGUGGCAGGUCCAACCAGAGACGUCAACGUGUGUUCCAGAGCUUCAGUGUGUUACAGAUAAGUGGUUUUGGCUUCCCCUUUAUGUUCCAUUCAGGGUCAGAAUGUAGUCUUAUAAAACAAAGUCAUAGUAAUUUAUUCAAUGGUAAGCGGUUUCAUGAACAAGUCACUCUUUGAUCUGAAAGUAACUUAGACCAAUCAUGAUGGCAAGAGCACUUAGGGGAUAUUCAACUCGCCCUUAAUAGUGCACGUUGUCGAGUAACAGGGUUUACUCCAAUAGAAUAGACGUUUGCCGUUCAGGGUAGUUCACUUGAAAUAUCUAAAGUUUCAACAGAGUGAUAAUCCCUCUAGAUUAGAUCUUGAUUUAGCACGGUCGAAGACCGGCGAAAACAUAAAAAAGGGCACAAACAAGAGCUUGGUUUAGUCGAGGCAAAGCUAAAGUCAAACUCUUUUCCGCUGGGGAUUUUGUUUUCGUAAGUUGACCGAAAAUGUAAAGGUCCCUUCAACAUUACUGCAGUUUUGGAAAACGAUAGGUAUAAAUUGAGACAUGUAAAUAGUUCUAAUAGAGUGUACAAAUUUCCCCAUGAAAACUUACGUGAAAUACCUCGAGGCCCGUCAGGCCUACUAGAAAUUUCUGAAAAUUAUAGUGACGAUGACGUGACGGCGUACACAGAUGGGUUAAUUAAUCUUGUUCAUGAAACUGAUCUUAAUGAUGACAAUAGAAGCGACAUUUUUGUCCGCAAAUAGCGAUACAGCAAACAUAGUCUGUGGGUAGUGAUACAAUGUCUGUAAGCUCAGGCACCUCAGGUGCAGGUGUUGGAAAUGUAGAAAACGAUGGUCGGUCUCGCACUAUUUCUGAAGAAAUUCCGUAUAAAUGUUCUGGUUUAAGAAAUGUUUUAACAAACGCUACCGCACACGCAGAUUAAAAAAAAAAAAAAAAGAAAAAAAAGAGAAUUGUAUGUGGCUAGAGAGAUGUUAAUCCGGACUAGCAAAAAAAAAAAAGAGAAAAAAGAAAGAAAGUGUGAAGUCAUUGAAGGGUCUGUCCGGUCCAAUGGCUUGGCUAUAGGGAUUUUCAUCCAGAUUAGCCACAACAAUUAGCUACAGGGAUUGCGAUUCGGUCUAGCAUUAUCCGGUCCAGUUCGAAAAACUGAAGGGAUAACAAUUCCGGUCUAAGUUAAAAGGGACAUACUUACAUACCUGAAGAGUUUUAAAUGAACUGGCCCAGGUAUGUAAGCAGUCUGAAGGUUAUUUAUAGCCAGUAUAGGAUUUUCUGAAGAAUUAUGCGAACCGAACCGUACUAGAUUGUUAAUAUCAUAGACCACGUUUUAAGUUGCAUCCGUUAAUGUCAGGAUGAACGAACACGUUUGUUGUUCACAGACAUACCAUAAGAAUGCGCGCACGAGGACGAGCGCACGUCAGUAUGGCCGUGACGGCGUUAACGAUAUUUAUGUUAUAUAGCACGUGCAAUAGGAGUGACUCACACAAGCCAGGCGCGCCGGCCGUGUCGUUCCACUCGUAAACAACAGCUGCAACAGAAGUGACUCAUAAGCCAGCUGCGCCGGCUAGUAUAAAAAGGCGGAACGUGCCUUGAAAUGAACAUUCGUUGGACUGCGCUUGCCUGGUGCACUUACUAUAUCCUCGUUACGUUGUGUGAUUCAGUGACUGUUGUACGUACUGGUUAAAGUUGGACAAGUGUUAAAGUGAAUUGUUAAGAUAACAUAUUGUUGAUUAAAUCAGGAAUCAAAUAG